rfam:Culex pipiens quinquefasciatus supercont3.1002 genomic scaffold, whole genome shotgun sequence.
GUCAACGAUCAUACCAUGUUGAAAACACCGGUUCUCGUCCGAUCACCGAAGUUAAGCAACAUCGGGCGCGAUUAGUACUUAGAUGGGUGACCGCUUGGGAACAUCGCGUGUCGUUGGCA